UCGCUUCGAGACCAUAAUAUUGAGACAAUGCCCAACAACAAUGUUGAACAGAAGUUUGAGAUGGUUGAAGAAGUCCUGGGCGGUAGUGAAAUGCGGUGGGCGCGGUGGGCGUAGUGGCCAAUUGGUCUUGUAAGUCAUGAGAGUCUUGAUUUACAACGGGCUGUGUCAUUUCAGCCUUUACCUCGUCCUUGUUCUUCUCCUCAUUUGUCUUGUCCUUUUCCUUGUCCCCCUCCACCAUUUGUUCACCUACCAACCUUGCCAGCUUCUCAUUCAGCGCUUCCUCCAAUUGAUCAACUCGCUUGAUGAAUGGGUGCUUUGUUUCCACCAACAGUCCAUGGGUCGGGUUAUCUCGAAUCUGUAAUAGUUCCUGCCACUUAUAGCUUGCACGAAAAAAGUUGGCGAAAUAAUCCGACGGCAGAUAAUGCAAGUUGUCCAUAGUGCGCCCAUAGAUGUAGAGCGCUGUGUUUCGUGUAUGUCCAGCCUG